GCCUGGGUGGCUUAGUCGGUUGAGCAUCCGACUUAGGCUCAGGUCAUGAUCUCACGGUCUGUGGGUUCGAACCCCAUUUCAGGCU
rfam:Felis catus isolate Cinnamon breed Abyssinian chromosome C2, whole genome shotgun sequence.